UCAAACCAAAGCUGGCGACCGGCGCACGGGUGAGUAACACGUAUCCAACCUGCCUCAUACUCGGGGAUAGCCUUUCGAAAGAAAGAUUAAUAUCCGAUAGCAUAUAUUUCCCGCAUGGGUUUUAUAUUAAAGAAAUUCGGUAUGAGAUGGGGAUGCGUUCCAUUAGUUUGUUGGGGGGUAACGGCCCACCAAGACUACGGUGGAUAGGGGUUCUGAGAGGAAGGUCCCCCACAUUGGAACUGAGACACGGUCCAA
rnacentral:rRNA from 1 species